UUUAGUUGCUUAAGGCUUUCAAGUGUGGAACUUGUGAAUAUAUAUUCCAAACCUUCACAUCUAUCUAUUUUCAAUAUCGUUAGGUUGGGCAAUUCAAGCAGAGUCAUAUUUGCGGACCUUGGGAUGGUGAUUGCAGUACAAGUAUCAUCACUUCCAUCACCAACAUUAGUAGUACUAUCAACAUCAUUGUUGUUUAUCCCUUUACUUUCAAAUACAUAGGAUGGAAACACUCUUGACAAGGCAUGACAAUCAGGCAUACUAAUCACUUUGGAGUAUUAGCAUAAGAACCAAGAAGCAACAACUUGAGAACACCACAACAACACAUGAAAAAUCAAUGGAUCUGUUUAAAUUAACAAAGCUUAGUUGUUUGCUACACACAUACACACAACAUGUGUUUCUAAAAAUAUGGUUACAAACACGAGUGCUUCCCACAACUAAGGUAAUUAUGAACAACUACAAAAAGGUAAACUAAAUCAAUCAUAAAAUUGGCCUUAUAGUGGGUUACAGGAGAUUAUAAACAACUUCAAAAAGGAAAUAGAAACAAGAAAAAAACAAAACUGUCACAUUGCUAAUUAACACAACUAAUUAGCAUUUAUUCAAAUUAAAACUUGAAAAUGAAGCGACUUUGAUUAGCAAUUAAUCAGCAUAUAUAUUUCACACGUAUCUGCAGGAACACAUGCAGAAUCAAAGUAUAAACACAUGCAAGUAUGAUAUAAACCAUAAAAUAUACAAAUAUUGUAACUAUGAAUUUUACUUGUGUGUACUGAAGAAGGGCUAAAUGCAAAACAUAGCAACACAUUUCCAUUUAUUCGUUUGUUAAAGCAUCGUACUUUCGUUUCUUUCUAUUUAAGCAACAGAAAUCGUUUCUAUUUUAAUAACUUUUUUUUGUUUUUUUUUAAACUCGAGUUGGAGAAAAAAGUUUAUUUGAUGGUACGAGUUUAAGUUUCUACUCCAAAAGCUAUUUCAAGUAGAUUUUAGCAUCUUUCAGUUUUUUGAAAUUCUACACCGUUAAGUGUUAACUACUUUUAUGGAAUAAUUACACACAAGUAAUCACCAUAGAGAUCUCAAACCAAGUACAAAGGGCUUUUUUGAGACCAUAUAUACCGGAAUUUUAGAAGCCAACAAACUUCACCCGGUUGGUGGGCAACACUUAGGGGAGAAGUCAUGUAAACCUCCUCAUGAAGAUCGUUGUUCAAGAACACAUUCUUACCAUCCAUUCAGAAUAUCUUCACUAACUAACGAAUGGAUGCAACUGUGUUAUUAGAGUACGACAUUCAUCACUUUUGUCGUCAAUUUUUGUGUGGGUGAAACUAACCCUUCUUAUGAGUCUAGUGAAGAGUCAUAAGUUCCUCAACUAUAGCAUUCUACCAAAGGAGAUCAUAAACAGCCUCUCUGUACGACUUGGUUUCUCACAUAUUAUGUAUAUUGGCAAUAAAUGAAGCAAACAAAGUCAAAAUAAGAUGGAUAAGAAAAUUGCAUGAGUUUGAUGGACUUACAAGUACCGUUGGACUUAAAAUGUGGUGGAAGUUUCAUAGUCACAGUUAGAGAGGAGCAUUUAGACCAAAAACCAAAUCGAAUCGAAUCGAACUGAAUUAGGCCUGAAUAAGCAAUUCGGUUCGGGUUUCGGGUAUCUAUAUUAGGCUUAGUCGGUUCUCGAAUUUUUCGGUUUGGGUUACCCAAAUAAGUGCUUAUUCGAUUCAAAAUAUCCGGCCCAGAAUUUCAGCAUGGUUGCAGAAAUUUAGGCAACUUUGAACUGUAAUGACGUCUUCGUUAUUUACCCCAUUUGCCUAUUUUUUUCCAUCUUGUAGCUCACGGUUUAAACUACUAUUUACAUAGUUUAUAUGCUAUUUUUGGUUAUAUAUUCAAUGAGAUACAUGCCCCUAAAUAUGGGGUAUUGAAGCUAAAUUUUCUGUUUCAGCAUGUUUGUAGAAAUGUAGGCAACUUUGAACUAUUAUAGGGUCUUCAUUAUUUGUCCGAUUUGCUUGAUUUUGGGGGUUGGAUUUUACAUUCUUAUAUCUCAAGAAUAGUUAACCCGUGUUUACAAUAAAUUUAGAGAAAAAGUGAAAUCAUUUUUGGUGUAUAUCGAAUCUUUUGUUCGUUAAUUUGGGAACAAAAACAUACAAAAUAUAAAUUCGUGUUUACAUUUAAGUCUACAGUUAUAUAUUUGUCCAUGCUGCGCAUGCUUAUUACACAAAUUCUGACAUUUUUUUGCAUCUUUGAAACAAUUAUAUAUACUUUCAUUAUUUUUAAUCAAACAAGAUUGUUUCUUUAAUAGUUUUGUUAUGGAAUCAUAAGCUACAAAAGUAUUAAAAAAUACAGUUUUUAUAAUCAUAUUGUAAAUGUUAUUCGGGUUAUGGAAUCAUAAUACGGUUUAUUUGCUUUUUUUCAGUUAUAUUAAGUCAUUAAUCAUAUCGUGAAUGUUAUUCGGGUUAUUCAAGUAAUAACUGACCCGAACCGAUUAAUACCCGAAUCGAACCGAACUCGUAUUAGGUUAUUCGAUUCGAGUUUCGGUUCCUCCGAUUAGCCUUAUUCAGUUUUUAGAUUAUUCAGGCUCAGGUAAAGUCGGUCCGGUUCCGACCCGAAUAACAUCCUAGUCACGGUAGGUAAACAAUAAGAGGAACUGGAGCAAUGUAUGAUGUUGUAAGCAUAUUAUAAAUUGGGUCAUCAGAUGCAAUGUUAUCUCUUUAAUUCAAAUGUACUAGAGUUGAUUAUCUAAUACAUCCAAUGGAUGAAAACAACAUUAAAAUCAAUAGCUAGUUAUAAAGAACGUUACAACAACAUUAUGCAUAUUUUAUUGGUCCUACACCUAAAGUACAUCACCACGUUAACAAUAAGCAUAGAUCCUAAAUAUCCCAAAUAGGUAAAAAAAAACAGUAUAUCAAAAAUUAAGAAUUUACAUGUAAUGUUAGGCCUCAUUAUUUAGUAGCGGAUACUUGGACUUUCUUUGGUAAUCUCAUCUGCAUGAUCAACAAACAUAAUUUACCUUUAACUAAGAUAUAAAAUAAGUUUAACUAGUCUACAAAUAAUAGAUUAUUAGAGAAUUUUGACCUUAGAUUUUGUGGUUCGCCAUCCUAUUGCGUUGGCUUCUGGAUGGCUUCUGGAGAUGUAUAGGCAAAUUUUUUCAAACGGAUUUUAUGAGUCGCCUUUACUCAAACUUGUAACACUAGAAGGUGAGACUUCCUACAAUUAAAAUCCCGAUUGUUACACAUGACAGUAUAUGACAAAACAAGUUGUAUUGCAUCUGGAAUGUAUUGGAUCGGGACAGUGUGACUGAUUUCAAUAAGACAAAAGUUGCAAUUUUUAAGGGAGUCGUUUUUUAUUUGACAUAUAUGCAAAAUUACCUUAUUUUUGUGGAUGCAUCGAUAUGUUGGAUUUCUAGUCUGUCAGAAUAAAAGAGUACCUGCAUAUAGAAAAUUUAAAUAAGUGGGUUGUAUCAUAGUUACCAGAAACGCGGUACGAUACGGGGAACGAGGUACGGUACGGGUUUCAAAACAUUGACCGUAUCGGGUACCGGGGGGNGGGGGGGGGGUAGGCUCAUUUCUGUACAAUCCGGUACAGUUUAUUGUAUAGUCCGGUAGAGUGUGCCUAGUUCUAAGACAUUUCAUAAAAUAUAUGUAAUUAUGUAUUCUAUUACUUAAACUUAAUAACAAAAGUACUAAUUAUCAAAACAGGAACAAAAUAAAUACCACAAUUACUUCAUCAUAAUACUUAAUAACAAAAAUAUUAAAAUACUAUAAAGGCAUAAACUAGUUUAUCCGUUGCCUUUUUCCACUUUCAUUCUCCACGCCUUCAUCAUCAAGGUUCUCCCACACCAUUUCUUCUAGACAAGCACUUGAACAUUCAAUGUGAUCACUUUCCGGAUUGAUGUCCCAUUUUUUGUUGGGUCCGACUUUGUAAGAUUCUGAAAACCGAGACAAAAGUCUAAUAUUAGAGUGAAUAUACACAAGUUUAUCCGCUCUUGGGCCAUUUAAACGAUUCCUUUUGAUGCUAUGUAUAUGAGAGUAUGUACUCCAAUUCCUCUCAGCUGAAGAGCUACUAAUCGGUUGCGAGAGGAUUUCUUUUCAUGCCUCCUGGUGCCAACUUUGCAAGAUAAUGCUUGUCAUAAUAUUUAUGAUUUAAAUCAAAUCCUAAACAAUGGAGAGGGAUAGUCAUCUGGUCCCACCUUUCGACCAUAAUUUCAUCAACUUUAGUGUAAUAGAUUGAGAGUUUAUUGUCCCUCAUAGUAAUAGCCUCUUUGAUUUAACCCAUAAUAUUGUCCAUUCAUUCAUAUAUUUCUGCCAUUUUCAGACAUUCACCAUCACAAAACUUUACCAUGUAAAAGAUAGGUUUUGUGACAGCCAAAUUGUGAGCAAUAUCAUCCCAAAAAUCUUCAUCUUUAAUUGUAUCUGCAACCUUAUUAACAAGUACUUGAGUGUGCGGAUCCACCGUGUUGACCAUUCUCGCCACGAGUUUAAGCCAAUAGUAGUAGCAAGUGCUUCCCUACACUCGGUUAGUCUUUUCAACAAUAUGUAAUGUGAUGCAAAUCGUGUUUGUGCAACCUUCAACAAUUGCAAUUUCGAGUUGUCUCUAAAGAAAGCUAAGGCGUGUGUGUGGUUUAAAAAAACGUAACAAUACCCUUCCCUCUGUUAUAUGUAUCGGUCAGCCAGUCAAAUUGCUUCGCCAUGUCUAUAAAAAUCAAAUUUAAAGAAUGUACACAACAAGGGGACCAGAAAAUAUGUUUAUAUACCUUCUGUAUUUCUCGUCCAGCCGCCUUGCAAUUCGCCGCGUUAUUGGUUACAACUUGAGUAACACUACUUGGACCAAUCUCCUCAAUAGCUUGUCGAAGAAACUUAGCAAUCUCCACCCCCAUCUUCUCAAUCCCCGAAAAGGCCUCCGCAUACAUAAAAGUUGCACCACGUGAAUUUUGUGCAAUAACAUUUAUAAGCGGUUCAUUUUUUACAUUAGACCAACCAUCUGAGAUAACGAAUACUCCUUGCGUUAACCACGUGUCUUUGACCGGAUCAAGUUCUUUGCCCACAUCUCUCACAAAUUGAUCAAGCAAUGAAGUUCUAGCUUUUUCAUAUGAAGGUGGCUUGUAACCUUCCGAUGCUUUCUUAAUAGCUUGAAUCAUUUCAAUGAAUUGCGGGUUCCGUAACACAUUAAAGAGAAUCCCAUUAGCACACAAGCCUCGAAGUAUCUUCAUGUCAACCUCCUCUCUCUCGAGCAUCUUAAAUGCAUCUUCAAUCCUUCUUUUUGGAGUUGAGUUUUUUGAGAGCAACGAAUUCUUCAAUAAUUUGGCAGCAACACCAUUCUUUUCCGCUUCUUUCACCCUAUUAUAUAGAACGUCAUAAUACGGGUUACUUUUAACAAGAACCGGACACCUUUUGAUCUCAGUUGUUUUCCCUGCAGGAGGUCAGAAAGUGAACAUGGAUUCUAGUAUAAGAGCUGGUAUAUUUUCCUUUACAGUGGUUACAGGUCCAACGUUUAGAACCUCCACUAUUCUUGUUGUUUCCUAGAACUUCUUUAUAUGUAACUUCUUCAUGGAGUGGUUUUCUUGGAUCUUUCUCAACACUGUUUUUUGGGGCUGUUUGUUGAACCUCAUCAUCAACAUGGAUUGUUGUUUGAUCUUGGGUCUCACUAAUAUGAGUGCUUUCUGUUUCACUGUCAGAAUGAGUUGGCUGAGACUCUGAAAAAUUUUUUCUUCCAAAUUCCAUUCUUCACAAUGGGAUGCACAAUUUAUAGUGGAAAGUGGAAACUAGAAAAUUAGAUAUAACUAAAAUCGAAAUUGAAGACAGAAAGCUGAAAUGGAAAUUGAGUUUGAAUGUCCGAUACAAGAUUACAAGGUCUAUAUAUACUAAUCUCAAAGAUUUGCAAUUAACACUUUUACAAUGUGAAAUUAAAAUUGAGAAGGCUAGGCAUCAAUGAUCGAUCCAUAGUAUCUAGCUGAGUCAACGAUCGGAGAAGUCGAAUAGCCUCUGUGAAACGUGGCUAAACUCCCGCCCAAAUCGCCAUUCAGUCGAUGCAUAAAACCCGAUCGGCAACAACAAAUCGACUUCACGUACGCUCUAUUUUGACUUCAGGGACGUUCGAUUUUGACUCCGGGUACGAUCGAUUUAGACUCCAAGAACGUUAAUUGGUUCGAUUGGGAUCGCUAUUAGGUUCGAUUUGGGUCGCGAUUGGCGUCGACUGUAUCAUUUUCUAGGUACGUUCACAUAUCACGUAUUGGACCGGUUUCCAAUCGUUUGGGUACAGGGUGUUUCGGUACGUGGUACGCCACUACUUCGACGUUUCUGGUGACUAUGGGUUGUAUAUCUCCAUAGGAUCAAACAAGUAAAAUUAAAAUAAAACAUAGCCAAAUUUCAAAACAUGUCAAGUGACUUAAAAGUCAGCCAAAGUGUAAUCAAAUGCAUCCAAGGGUUCGAAUUGGUUGAGUCAAGAAAUUAGAUUAUUAGGGUAAAUACAAGAGAUAGCAACAUACUUUCAUUUUACUUGUGUAUGAUUUCUUCGUAUUAUAGCAUUUUAGUUUCAGGUUUUUUUUCUUAUUAAAGCAGUGCACUUUGAAAAAUCUACCCAAUUAUAGCAGCGAAAAUUGCUUUGUAUAUAGAUGACAUUGCUAUAAUUGGGUUGGUUAUUCAAAGUACAAUACUGUAAUAGAAAAAAAUAAAGGUAUGAUGCUACAAUAUGAAAAUCAAAGAACCAACAUUACUAUUUCUUGCAAAUAACCAUAGAUUUUUAUUGUAAUAAAGAGAUUUUGUAAUCAUAUUCAAGACAUGGAUCAAUUAUAAAGUUAGGAAAAUGAACAAAAAAAACAUUUCCAGUAAACCUAAGGCAUGACACAACUCCCAACUCCCAAAAAAUAAAUCAGAAAAAAGACCGAUAUACCCUCAAUAACUAUACACCAGAUAUGCGACAAGAUAUUAUAAAAGUAUGAAUUGAUAUCAUACCUUGUUUAAAAGCUGCACAUUGGAUGAAUCAGUUGCCACAACAUGUAACCCAAGACAAUUGUGUUGAUCACUACAAAAAGGGCAGAAAGCCGUAUUAAAUACACAUCCAUCUUCUUUACUCCAUAUUCCUUCAUCACCACUUCUUUUCCAAAUUCUCCCAUCAACACAUGAAAGAUCAGACACCACAAUAGCCACACUUGCCCCACCCUUUUCUCUCCCUUUCCAACUUGACACCAAAUGCACUUUAGAUAAUGACAUUGAUGAACAAGGGACAAAAUAGUCAUUUUCCGCAAGACCCAAUGGAGUUUUACAGAGUGAACACGAUAUUUUUAGAUCUUUCUUGGUUUCAUCACCAAGAUUCAUGGUUUCUUUCACUGGAAAUGUGGGUUUGGGUUUGGGGGAAUCAAAUUGGGACAUUUUGACUGAUGCAAAAGCUGAAGACUUUCUUCUUUUGUGAAAAUGGGAAUUGACACUUGAAUCUAGAGGUGAAUUGGUUUGAGGGAUUUGUUGUUUUUUAGGUGUUGGUGUUGUUGUGUUCAUGCAUUCAGAAGCUGAAGUGGAACAAGGGGAAGAAAAGGAACAAGUGGGAAACUUUGAUUGGAUUAUGGUUGACUCAGAGACAGAUUCAAGAGUAGCAGGGUAACUGUUCUUGAUUGGUGUUUCCUUCAGAAUAGGUGGCUCAUGGUCAAGGGCAUUAUCGUCAUUUCUCGGGGUUUCAUGAACAAUGGUUAAGUCGAAAUCGUCAUCAUGAGAUAUAUUCAUUGAUGGUGGCGAUGGAAACCUGCACCCAUCAUAAGACAUACAUCUGUUACCAACUUCUAUUCUCUUUUAGAGUAAUUACAAGAAUGGUCCCUGUGUUAUUCCCAACAUUUCAGAUUCAGUCCAACUUCUAUGAUAAAAUGACUUUUCUACCCUCACAUGUUUCUUUUUAAAGAACAUUGCAUUUUUGGUCCCCAAGUAUAGCUGAUGUUUUUAAUUUUGGUCCCAAAAGGUUGUCAUGCUAAUUUGGUCCUUAUUUAAGAUUUUUGUAACGUUUUUUGUCCCUGUUCCUAGUAAAAUGGCUAUUUUUGGGAUCGAAAUUUCAAAAAUCACACCCAUAGACCAAAAUGGUCACUUAAUUUGGAACCGGGACCAAAAACAUUACACGAAUGUCAAAUAAGGACCAAAAAUGCAAAAGAAAACCUUUUAGUACCAAAAUUGCAAAAAGCAACCAUACUCAAGGAGCAAAAAUGUAAUUUGACUCUUCUUUUUAACUUUUCUAUAAUUUGUUUAUUUUAAACUAUUGUUAGAUGUCAUUUUACAUGGAUCAGUGACAGAUCAGAAACAAAAACCAAUGUUAGGGACCAAUUUGAAACAAAAAAAAAAAACAUUGGACUGAAUAUGCAACAGUGGGUAUAACACAAGGACCAUUCUUGUAACUAACUCUUUUUAUUUCAAUGAUUGAAAGAACAAGACGCGUAGAUAAAAUAACAAGUUUAAAAUACCUGUUUUGUGUCUCCAAAUCACCUUUGGAGUCAGUGUAAGUUAUACCAGUAUUGAUGUCACUCUUUUUCACUCCCCUAAUUGUUUCCUGAGGUCUAGAUUCUGCUUUGAGGGAGGGGCAAUGUAACUUUUUAGAUGUAAUCGGAAACUUUUUUAAUAUUAAUGUGUAACCUCACUAUGAGAAACCUUCAUCAACAAAAAUUAUGAACCCUAAUGAAAAACCAAAAAAAAAAAAAAAAAAUAGAAAAUAAAGAGUGAUACAAAAUGCCUUCAUCAUUUCAACAUCUAUCAUUUCCAUAUUCUCUUUUUCAUAGUCCAUACAGGUCCCAUUGGUUUUCUUGAUUGGUAUUUCCUUCAUACUGGGUGGCUCAUAGUCAAGGGCAUUAUCGUCAUUUCUCAGGCUUUCAUGAACAAUGGUUUAUUUGAAAUCGUCAUGAGAUAUAUUCAUUGAAGGCGACGAUAAAAACCUGCACAGAACAUAAGAAGAUAUAUAUAACCGAAUUUCAUUCUUUUUAUCUCAGAAGUUGAAAACAAAACAGAGCUUUAUGAUCUUUGCUAAUAAAGCAUUUGUAGUUGAGACUCACUUCUUCAAGAAUGAAGUGCUUUUAUACAAAUCAAACAUUAAUACUAGGGGUGUUGAACGGGUAAUUUUUUCGGGUUUCGGGUAAUUCGGGUCGGGUAAUUCGGGUUUUUCAUGUUAGAAAAAUUACCCGUUACCCUACCCAAACUAAAUUCGGGUAAUUCGGGUAUCGGGUCGGGUUUGGGUAAUUCGGGUAUUACCCGAAAUAUAUGAUUUUUUUUUUGAAUUUCACCUAAAAAUAAAUUUAAUGGAAUAAAUACGUCGUGCUUUAUUAGUCUUGUUUAUAUAAACAAACGAGACAUAAACGAAGUUACUCAAGCUUUGAACAUUGAGAUUUUCUACUCAAUAAUACAUGAGAUAUCAAGUAUUUUUGUAACGACUUAAUCUAAUCUAAUAAGAUGUUAAAAAAACAAAUACCUAAAGAUCUUAAUUUAAAAGUUUAAAAUGUUUAAGAUAAACGUAGUCAUAAGUUUUGCCAUGUUUUAAAGUUUCGUCAAGAUAAUGAGUUUGUUAAUUGUAAUAAAAACUAUAAUAUAGAAAACAGUUAAGUUUUAAAGAACGUGAUGAUAUAUAAAAAUUACUUUUAAUAUUGUUAGUGUCGUAUUGUCAUAAUAAAUAUAUUUAUGUUUUAUAAUAAUGAUAUUAGUUUAAGCGUGAUCAAAUACUUGCUAUAUAGUACAAGCUCUAUAAGAAAAAUGAAAUUUUAAAAUAAUUUGGGUAAUUCGGGUAAUUCGGGUAUACCCGAAAUCCAAAAAAUGUACCCUUUACCCGACCCGAAAAAAAUCGGGUAACCCGAUUACCCGGAAAAUUUACCCGAUACCCGAUUUACCCGACCCGAUUUACCCGUUACCCGAAAAAAUCGGGCGGGUAAUUCGGGUAUCGGGUAUUUUCGACAGGGCUAAUUAAUACACUCAACUUACACUAUUUGUAAUGUAGAGGUUGAGCAACAAGAUCAUUUGAAAUGUGAGGUUGCUGCCAGGACUUGGUUUGAGAUUUUUAAAUGGUUGGAGAUUUCACAAAUUCCUUUUGAUUCCGUUCCUGAUUUGUUUAUGUUGGUGGAUCAGUUGCCUAUCGCUUCGAAAAAGAAAGUUGUCUUGGAUACUGUGGUCUGAAUUUCUAUUUGGUAUAUCUGGAGGUUCAGAAAUAAAAAAGUGUUUGUUUGAGGAAAGAUAAGGCGGAGUGAGAUUGUGGACUCUAUUAUCCAAUUUUCUUAUCUUUGGUAUAAUAACAGGAACAGCAAAUGUAUCAUAGAUAGGAUAAAUUGCCAGUGAGGCUAUUUCAGAAAAAAAUGAAAAAUACACUCAACUUACAAGAGGUGCCAUUGAAGAAUUUUAUCAAACACUUGGUGUUCAUAAAAAUAAAGAACACAGAUCUGUUGAAUUAAGGGCAGUUUUAGGUUAUUCAUUCUUUUUCUUUUCUUUCUUGUCCAGUAUGUGCUAAGAGAGUUUCAUCUAUGUAUUACCAUUCUAUGCACCUUCAACCCCUGAAUUUAUGCAUUAUUUAAAAUAAUUGAAUAUGUACAAACCAACCAAAAAAAAACUUGUGUAAUUAUUGCUAAGUUAGUCACAUCUUAAUCAAAUAGAAGAAAUGGACACAUCAUACAUGAGAUUACAUGAAACUAGAAAUUCAAUAAUUCGAAUUGAAAUUUUAAGCAAGCAACUCUGAUUACAAGUCAAUUCAAUGAUCAGAUAAUUAAGGUAGAGAAACAUGUACAUGAUUAGGAAGAAGGAAACAAGUGUAGGAUGUAAUCAUACCUAUGCUAUUUAGCUGACUUCAAAAUGAGCCAAACUGGACGUGUGAAUUCAAAUGUUCCUCUAGAACUGCCAUCCCUGUAGGAGAUUACAAAAAAGUGGUAAAUUAGAGAGUAAUGUAAAGUUUUUGUUGGAAAAAACAUUAGUCUGUUAAUAAUAACCAAAGGUGACACCACAUACCUCUUGUUGAUAGGUCUUUAUAAAAGAGUUGGGUUCUUCUGUUACAUGACAAAAUCCAAAAGUUGUAUCUAUUAACUUUAGCUCCGGAGUAGUUGAUUGCCCAUUUGUGAAUACUGUUAUUUUUGGACAAUAUUUGAUUUCCAAAGUAUCUAAUGAUGGCCAUUCAAAAGCCUCCUUCCCCAGGCAAAAUCCCUUGAGAUUUGGAAGCUUUUCAAGUGUUAUGGAUUUCAGACAAGGGAACACAACCUCAGUAGUAGUCAGUCUGGUUUCGGAAUCUUCAACUUGCUUCACAAUCACAUCCAUACUCUCGCAGUCACUUAUUUUUAGCUCUUGGAGCUGGAAUAGACUACCAACCAUGCAACUACUGAAAACGUGUCCAAGAAGCUUACAACUUACAAUUGAGACCUUUGUAAGGUUUGGAAAGUUCAACACUAUCCACCGAUUGCUCUUCCACACAUGCUUCAGAGUAUUUAUUCCACCCAAAGUCACCUCUUUCAGCUUCUCAAAUACCACAACAGAUUGCAUUCCAAUAUCCACAUCUUCAUUUGUCCCUUCUGCUACUUCAAAUACUUCCUCUAUUUUAGAUUCACCAUACUUCCUGGUAAUAGAAAGCUUUUCAAGAUUCUUCAAAUUAAGCAACUCCUUGCAUGGAAAAAUUAUGCGGCUUUCCAACAAUUUGUCAAUCCAUUGUGCAUCUACUUCAACUAAAUUUGAAAGAGACCACGGGAACUGAAGUAGCUUUAUCAAAUCUGGAGUAGAGCACAUAGGGAGUUGAGUCUGCUAAGAAAAAUCAAACAUAGAUAGAUCAUCACAAACACGACAAUUACUAAAGAAAAAUACAUUUAAUAUUACAAACAUAAUAAGGAUUGCAAGUUAUGUUAUUCUUCAAUGAGCCAACAUGUAUUUUCAAUCAACAACCUAGUUUAUGACACUGCUUACAUUAUAUUUUGUGAAGAUGAGCAUCAUGAAGAAAAUUUCUGCAUUAUAUAUUGCAUUUGCUCAAACAAUUUAGAUUGUUAUCGAUGAUUGUUGAGUCUUUUUAAAUAAAAGUAAAAAUUAUAGUUUGUGGGUGAGUGGGUAGGGAGGAUAAAAUAAAAAGUAAAAGUUAAGUGUUUUGGCUACUUCAAAAAGGGUAAUUUUUCAUGUACUGAAUAUUUACAUCCAAUUUUUUUAGGAAAAAAGAUAAUUAUGUUAUUGUAUUUUUUAUUGCAUUGUCAAAUACAACAAAUGAUAUAUGGAUGAUAUGCUUACACUUUUACAAUCAUCUCAGCUAUACUAUUUUCGUCAAUUUUAGGUAAUAAACGCUAAAAAAAAAUGUUUACCUUGUAAAAGAUGAGAGAGAAAAGAAGAACUUGAUUAAGUAACAACUAGCAUCACAAUAUUUAUAAAAUAUGUUAGAUAAUUGAAUUAAAUUGGAUGAAAACGAUAUAAAUGAUUUAAUUACAAUAUAUACUUCCAUACAAAAAUCUAUUUGUUAACAGAUAUGAGUGAAAAUAUGUAUAAUAAGGCAAUGCUUUAAUUUCCAUCUAUUUUGUGUUUUCUUUUCUUAACCGAAUGAAGAUGUUAGUUCUAAGUUCCUAAUUAAUGAUAUAUGACAAGUACCAAACGAUCACAUUCUAUGAAAUUUACAAAUGAUUUGAAUAAGAAUGAACUUGCCAAGUAUCAUUUGUAAUACACAAGAAAAUAAUUUUUUAUUUUCAUAUAUUUGAUAUAAAUUCUUAAGUCUUGUAUUUUUAAGGAACGUAACUAUUAUGUGAAUUUUAGAAGCACUUUUUCUUAGGUGCUUAUUUUGUUAUUCCUUUAAUUGAAUACUUGCCCAAACUCAGAGCCACUAGUUAGAUUGUUUGUUUUUCUACAAAGCGAUCAAUUUUUUGUCAAAUUAAAAUACGUUUUAGCGAAAACUGCAAAUUUGGUCCCUGUAUUUGUUGAUUUUUGUGGUUACAAUGGGGACAGUGUAAUAAAGAAGGGGUUGUUGAUCUGAUUCUGAUCAAACGGAAACUAGUAUUGUAUAUGUUCAGAAAUCUUUGGACAUGGAAAAAACCACCCUCAAUGAAUGCGUCAAUUGGGCUUUUUGUCUUUACUUCAUCUAACUUGAUUAAAAUAAUAAAUUGCUAACUUAUGAAUUAGUGAAUAUAACAUCUUUUAUAACAUAAGAGACAACUUAAUAUCUUAGGAAUGAAAUAUUAACUUAUAAUAAAAAAAUAAAAUUGCAUAUUUUCGUAACUUUUUAUAGAUACAAAAAAUGGGAAGUGGUUAUAUAUGUAUCUUCAUUUGGUUUUGUUUGUGUUUCCUUCCGGAAUACACAUAUGAACCGACUAAAUUAGUAAGCAAAUAAUAUGUUGAACAUCAUAAAACGACAUCCUGAUCACCUGGUUAAAUGAUGAAGUAAGGUAACAACAUACCUCAUGUGUAGCAUUGGUCAAAUGGAAGUUGAGGCCAUAUUGAUCAAGACUAUGCUUGCCUAAUUCUGUAUGUAUGUAAUUGAGCUUCGGAGUCAUGGAGUGACCAGAUGUGAAAUUCAUCAUUUGUGGGCAGCCAUAAAUCUUAACCUUUUCCAAUGCUUUCCACUUGAACUCAUUCUUCCCCAAGAAGAAACCCUUGAGAUCUGGUAAAUCUGCAAGUGUAAGGGACUUGAGACGAGGGAAGAAACCCUUGAGUUCUGGUAAAUCUCCGUCUUCCUUCACAAUCACUUUCACUGCCUUGCAUUGUUUUACAGUCAGUUUUUUGAGUUGCUUGAGGCUUUCAAGUGUGGAACUUGUGAUUAUAUAUUCCAAUACUUCACAUCUUUCUAUUUCCAAUAUCGUUAGGUUGGGCAAUUGAAGCAGAGUCAUAUUGGCCGACCUUGGGAUGGUGAUUGCAGUACAAGUAUCAUCACUUCCAUCACCAACAUUCGUAGUACUAUCAACACCAUCUUUUUUUAUUUCUUUACUUUCAAAUAUCUCCACCAUUGACUUACAUUCUUCUAUUCUCAACUCUUCAAGC
rnacentral:lncRNA from 1 species